AGGAUUUUUAAAGAAAAGAAAGUUGUGGACAAAAACUACAUACAGGUGCUAAAAAUAAAGCCUCUUUUGCAACCCAGAACUCAUUGCUCAGUAUGAGUUUGAUACAUAUAAGAAAGAACAUG
rnacentral:snoRNA from 1 species